GACGAACGCUGGCGGCGCGCUUAACACAUGCAAGUCGAGCGAGAACCAGGGCUUCGGCCCUGGGGACAGCGGCGAACGGGUGAGUAACACGUGGGUAAUCUGCCCUCGGCACCGGAAUAGCCCGGGGAAACCCGGAUUAAUGCCGGAUGGCCCCUGCACCUCGCGAGGUGUCGGGAAAAGGUAGCUUCGGCCUCCGGCCGAGGAUGAGCCCGCGGCGGAUUAGCUUGUUGGCGGGGUAACGGCCCACCAAGGCAACGAUCCGUAGCUGGUCUGAGAGGACGAUCAGCCACACUGGGACUGGGACACGGCCCAGACUCCUACGGGAGGCAGCAGUGGGGAAUCUUGCGCAAUGGGCGAAAGCCUGACGCAGCGACGCCGCGUGAGGGAAGAAGGCCUUCGGGUUGUAAACCUCUUUCAGGAGGGACGAAGCCACUCGGGUGAAUAGCCCAGAGGGUGACGGUACCUCCAGAAGAAGCCCCGGCUAACUACGUGCCAGCCGCCGCCGUAACAC
rnacentral:rRNA from 1 species